AAUGCUGUGUCUCCUCUGACAAGAGCCUAUGAAGACCCUUCAGCAGAAUGUCCCUAGCUGGAGCAGAAUGUCCCAAGUGUGACCUGGACCCCCCACCCAGACAUAACCAGGGCUAUGGUUGUCCCAUUGUGGUGUUCUGUCCCUCUGUCCUCCCUGUAGGUGUCCUGCUGGCAUAGCAAGGUGCCACAGCCCAGAGUAGAACAAACGUAUUGCUUACUGUUAUGGAACCCAAAAUGUCUGAGCGGGAAAUGUUUGCAUCGAGACUCUAGGGAAAAACCUACUCUAGGCCACUUUCUGUGGUUUGUGGGUGGCCACUCCCCUUUUUCUCUCAUCCAUGUGACCAUUGUCUGGUGGAAAUAAUCUAAGUGAGAAUUCUUUCUGUUGAGUCACUCAAGGGUUCAGUCUGUGGUCACUUGGUUACUCUGGCUCCGGUUGUGUAGGAGAACAUGGUUGGAAGCUGAAGUGUGUGACAGGAAGUCAAAGCUAGAGGCGAGCUGCUCUGUUCAAAAUGUACCAUGAAAAUUCACACGCCCUUGGAUGUGCUUACUGGGUACCACAGACCUCGAGAAUAGGACUGGCCUCCCUGUUGUGUGGCUGGUGCUUGAGGCUGGUGCUGGGGGAUCUAACCCUUGGCCUCACAUGACCUGGGCAUGAGAUCUUCCACCUGACACACCCAGUCCCAUGGAACUCCAUCACCUCUGUCACUGCCUUGACAGAGCGCCUGACAGGCAAGUGAAGGCAGCCAGUCAUACUGCAUCUGCCCUCAGGAAGCAGAAUGAGGAGCCAUUGCUCAGCUCACUUUCGACUUUUGUAAGUCCAGGACCACAGCCCAUGGAGUUCUACCAUCCAGUUUGAAGUUUGUAUAUGUGCAGGUAUUGGACCCCCUAGAAUUGGAGUCACAGUUGUGAGUUGCCAUAUAAACACUGGGAAUUCAGCCUGGGUCCUCGGGAAGAGCAGCCACUGCUUAACCACUGAGACAUCUCUCCAGCCCCAGUGAUGUUCAGUCUUCAUCGUCGGUGCUACUGGAUCUAUAACCACCUGGCAGAAACACUCUAGGCAUUGAAGGCAAUUCCAGAGAGGUUGGACAGAGAGAUGAGAACCACCCUGAGAUGGGUGGCCUCAUCCCACGGGCUCGGAACCCAUGAGAGUGAACAAAAGGAAUGGAGAAGGUAAACCAAGGUGAACUAUCCAUGUCUCUGCUUCCACAACCCAGAUGCAAUGUCACCAGUCACCUCACACGUCCACAGCCAUGCUUUCCCUGCUAGGAUCAACCGUUAGCCCCUCAACCCCGAGCCAUGAUAAACUCUUUCUUACUUU